rnacentral:lncRNA from 1 species
GAAUUUCAUGAUACACUGCGGUCCUCAAGCAUUUAGGACGGAAGAAAUGAACACUGUCGAGGUAUGAUAUGUAAACUCUCCUAUACGAAGUGGGGAGAAAGAAACCAAGUCAAGAAACCAACUCCUUAUGUGACUUGUGACAUUAUAUUUUCUCUCUUCUCGUUUUUUUUUUUUUUUUACCUCAUUUGUAAUGCACAUCACGUAGUCACAGAUAAAUGACUAGACUGUGAACACUUCAGGGGAGUUUCAUGAGCCUAUGGCUCUAUUCUAAUCUCAGUGCCCAGUAGAGCCUGAAGCAGAGUAUAUGAAUCAGUAUUUAUGGAUCCAAAUGUAUUCUGGCAGUGUUCUUAUUCUGGCCUUUAUACUAUUUUGGAAACAAGAAAUUCAAAACC